GUGGGGAAUAUUGGACAAUGGGCGCAAGCCUGAUCCAGCCAUGCCGCGUGAGUGAUGAAGGCCUUAGGGUUGUAAAGCUCUUUCAGUGGGGACGAUAAUGACGGUACCCACAGAAGAAGCCCCGGCUAACUUCGUGCCAGCAGCCGCGGUAAUACGAAGGGGGCUAGCGUUGUUCGGAUUUACUGGGCGUAAAGCGCACGUAGGCGGAUCGUUAAGUCGGGGGUGCAAUCCUGGAGCUCAACUCCAGAACUGCCUUCGAUACUGGCGAUCUUGAGUCCGGAAGAGGUGAGUGGAACUCCUAGUGUAGAGGUGGAAUUCGUAGAUAUUAGGAAGAACACCAGUGGCGAAGGCGGCUCACUGGUCCGGUACUGACGCUGAGGUGCGAAAGCGUGGGGAGCAAACAGGAUUAGAUACCCGGGUAGUCC
rnacentral:rRNA from 1 species